GCUGUAGCUCAGAGGUAGAGUAUCUGCUUUGCAUGCAGAAGGUUCCAGGUUCGAUCCUUGGCAUCUCCA